rnacentral:rRNA from 1 species
GACGGAGGGUGCAAGCGUUUUUCGGAAUCACUGGGCGUAAAGCGCGUGUAGGCGGUCCGAUAAGUCGAGUGUGAAAGCCCGAGGCUCAACCUCGGAAGUGCAUUCGAAACUGUCGGGCUUGAGUACGGGAGAGGGAAGUGGAAUUCCUGGUGUAGAGGUGAAAUUCGUAGAUAUCAGGAGGAACACCGGUGGCGAAGGCGGCUUCCUGGACCGAUACUGACGCUGAGACGCGAAAGCGUGGGGAGCAAACAGG